rnacentral:snRNA from 1 species
AUACUUAGCUGGCAGGAGAGAUGCCAUGAUCAAGAAAGUGGUUGUNGCAGGGUGAGGCUCAUUCAUUGCCUGCUGACCCCCNUGACUUUCCAAACUAUGGGAAACAUUAACUGUAUAAUUUGUGGUAGUGGAUGAUUACAUUCA